GAAAAGCUGGUCCUGCUGUGGUGGAGAGAAUGGAGGAAAGAUAAUAAAAGGCCAAACCUUUGCUCCAACUUUCUCCUUAGCUUCCCUUUGGAUCUGGAAAGCUGGGGACCCACACGGCAGAGCCAUGGUACUGGAGGAGCCAUUAACAACGAGGCUCCUUCUGUAAGGUUGCCUGGAUACUGCAUCUGGCUGACAGAGUCCCCAGACAGAACUUGAAUAGGCACUGCCAGGGUGUGUACUUCUAUGACUCUCCUUUUGCAAUGGGCCCACACCACCCACCUCAUUUUUCUAAUAAGAGCUUUCAAUAAACCUCUCUUUCUUGAAGUUACCUGAGAAUGGAUCCAUUCCCUGCAACUGAAGAUUCUAAGGAACUGGGUUUCUCAGUAUACAAUGGGAAUGGUUGGGAGGAGGUAAAGAGUAGAAGACAGUAUCAAGAAUCCAGAGCCCAGCACCUGUAGUCCUAACUAUUCAGAUUCCUUGAGCCCAGGAGUUUGAGUCCAGCCUGGACAACAUAUUGAGACCCCCAUCUCUCUAAAAAAAAAGAGAAAGAAAGAAGGAAAGAAAAAAAGAAAGAAAGAAAGAAAGAAAGAAAGAAAGAAAGAAAGAAAGAAAGAGAAAGAAAGAAGGAAAGAAGGAAAGAAGGAAAGAAAGAAAGAAAGAGAAAGAAAGAAAAGAAGAUUGUAGCUAGGGGGAGAGUAGGUGAAAAGAUGAACAACAUGACCGGGAAGAUUUCCUAAUCUCACCACAGCCUGGCUCUACCUUAAGUCUUUAAUAAAAGCUUGACUGAAGGUACCAAGGUGUGCUGAAGUGGAAGCAAAGUUCUCCAAAGUCCAGCAUGGUAGACAUCAGUGGUGGUAACCAAGGACAGACCCCAAGGCAAGGUGAACCUCAAAAAUGGAACCUCAAGUCUAUGCAGUCCAGCUGCCCUCCCCACCAGAAAGUCCUUGUUCCAGCCCAACAUCAGUGCCUCUGAGUUUGUUUACUAGAAACAAAGGAAGAAUUUCCUUGUAAAAAUAUAGACAGAGUAGUCCCUGGCUUUCUCCUCUUGCAGGAAGGAUGGAUUCUCCCAUUCCAUACCAUCUUUCCCCCACACUGGCCCCAGAAAUACUUAAUUCAACUAUGUGAAAAUAAAGAUUGUUUUUGGUUUGAGGGCAUAGGGAUCCAUUUAUCCUUAUUCUUUAUGAGGCACUAAAUUAGCUUUGUAUGUUAUUAAAUGUGUCUCGUCAAUGCUGUUGGCAUUGUUUCAUUUUAACUUCUAUUUGGUAAUGUUCAAUUUUCUGAAUGUGUGGAUCACUUAGCAUGAGCAGAAAACCCUGCAAAAGUGGUGGAGGUAAGGAAAGGUUGUAAUAAUGGUUACAAAGCAGGAGCAGCAUAAGGCUACCUAGGUGGUACGGUUUGAGUUGUUUUGGGAAAGCCCUUCUUAAUCACCUCUCUCUAGGACACCACCCCAACACACAUGAAAUUCCGCUGAUGUCUUUUUGGUUGCCACUAUGUUCCCCAAGUUCUUUUAAUAUGCAAACACUGGUAGGAAAAUAAGAAGAAAUCACAUCAUAUCUCUGUUUAGAAACUGGUCUAAGAUGUUUAUAAAUGUUCAGAAAAAAUGUAAAUCUCCUUGGGUAAGCAGGCUUAGAUGAAACUAUGAGCUCAUGUUGGCAAAUGUGCAAGCUUUAGCAUUUAAGCCAAGUGCUUUAAAUCAAUCUGAGCUUCAAAAGGCAAUAGUUAAAAGUCAAGGUACGGUAGACAAAAAAAAUAUUUUCUUGACUGGAAGAGAUCUUCAUGAGACUCUUUACCAUGAAUUACCUAGAGAAAAUAACGUAAGGCAAUCUUUUUUUUUUUUUUCACUUUAAUUCAACUCAACAAAGAUGUAUUUAAUUCUACUAUAUGUAAGUAAAACUGAAGACAUAGAGUUGCAUAAAACAGUUCUGUCCCCAGACAGUCUAGCCAUGCAGGACAAAACACGUAUGGAGACACAAAGCGAAGUGUCAGGUUGCUGUGAGAGUUUAAAGAAGGGAGAUAGCCCAUCCUGUUGGAGGUCUCACCAAUAGCAUUGAGAAGGGAUUUGGAGGCAGCCAUAAAUUAAUAAACUGUACAUGAAGGAACUGGCUCAGAGAUUGAAAAUCACAGGACGUUUUAGGAAACUUUGGGUGGUGAGGUCUGGAUGGAGCACAGAAUCGGCGUGGGGAGUUAGAGGAAAAUUAGGGUCGGGGAGAAGAUUGGGAUGCUCUGAGCAAAACCAAGGCAAAGGAAGUUUAAGGCCAAUCAGCAACGUGUGUCUUCCAUCCUUUUCCUUUUCUUCUGCUGUGGAGGGUUCAUCCCUCUCCAGCCAACAGAACAAUGAUUCUGAACACACUCCCAAGAGGGACUUCUGGG
rnacentral:lncRNA from 1 species